rnacentral:rRNA from 1 species
AGUUGAUCAUGGCUCAGAACGAACGCUGGUAGCGUGGAUUAGGCAUGCAAGUCGAACGGGAUCGGCUGGAUAGCAAUAUUCGGCCGUGAGAGUGGCGGAUUGGGGAGGAACACGUGAGCAACUUGCCCACGGGCCGGGGAAAACCGUUGGAAACGACGGCUAAUACCGGAUGUGGCGCCUGGCGACAUCGCCGGAGCGCCAAAGGGGGCCGCAAGGCUCCCGCCCGAGGAUAGGCUCGCGCACCAUCAGCUUGUUGGCGGGUAACGGCCCACCAAGGCUUACGGUUAGCUGGUCUGAGAGGAUGACCAGCCCCACUGGGACUGAGAUACUGCCCAGACUCCUACGGGAGGCUGCAGUCGAGGAUCAUUCGCAAUGGACGGAAGUCUGACGAUGCGACGCUGCGUGGAGGAUGAAGGCCUUCGGGUCGUAAACUCCUGUCAUGGGGGAACAGGCGAGGGGACCCAACACGUCCCUUAGUUGAGUGUACCCCAAGAGGAAGCGACGGCUAACUCUGUGCCAGCCGCCGC